rnacentral:rRNA from 1 species
GGCGAACGCUGGCGGCGCGCUUAACACAUGCAAGUCGAACGGAAAGGCCUGCUUUCCCUUGUGGAUUGCGGGUACUCGAGUGGCGAACGGGUGAGUAACACGUGAGUGAUCUGCCCCCAACUUGGGUAUAAGCCUGGGAAACUGGGUCUAAUUCCCGAUAGGACUGCAGGGUGGUGCCUGUGGUGGAAAACGAUUUUCUAGUGGUUGGGGAUGAGCUCGCGGCCUAUCAGCUUGUUGGUGGGGUAAUGGCCUACCAAGGCGGCGACGGGUAGCCGGCCUGAGAGGGUGGACGGCCACAUUGGGACUGAGAUACGGCCCAGACUCCUACGGGAGGCAGCAGUGGGGAAUAUUGCACAAUGGGCGGAAGCCUGAUGCAGCGACGCCGCGUGGGGGAUGACGGCCUUCGGGUUGUAAACUCCUUUCGACCGCGAGGAAGCCACCUGGUUGGAAGGGUGGUGACGGUAGUGGUAGAAGAAGCACCGGCUAACUACGUG